rnacentral:rRNA from 1 species
UACAACAUAGCGUUAAUGCACCAGAUCCCAUUAGAACUUCGCAAAUAAACGCGCUCAGGCUAGAGUAGUACUGGGAUGGGUGACUUCCCGAGAAGUCCUAGUGUUUUAC